rnacentral:misc_RNA from 1 species
UAUGCUGUUCUUCAGAGUUGGGUUUCGAAAAAGUUCAUGACUGGAUGUGUUGUUCUCUUUCCAGUUGCUGUUUCCUUUUUAGUGACUUGGUGGUUUAUCCAGUUUGUUGAUGGUUUCUUUAGCCCAAUAUAUGCUAAACUUGGCAUUGACAUUUUCGGCCUUGGAUUUGUUACUUCACUACUUUUUGUAUUCUUCGUUGGAAUUUUUGCAUCA